rnacentral:rRNA from 1 species
CCUACGGGAGACAGCAGUAGGGAAUCUUCCACAAUGGGCGAAAGCCUGAUGGAGCAACGCCGCGUGGGUGAAGAAGGUCUUCGGGUCGUAAAAUACUGUUGUUAGAGAAGAAAGUGCUAGAGAGUAUCUGUUCACGUUUCGACGGUAUCUAACCAGAAAGCCACGGCUAACUACGUGCCAGCAGCCGCGGUAAUACGUAGGUGGCAAGCGUUAACCGGAAUUAUUGGGCGUAAAGGGAACGCAGGCGGUCUAUUAAGUCUGAUGUGAAAGCCUCGGGCUUAACCGGGGUAGUGCAUGUGAAACUGGGAGACUAGAGUGCAGUAGAGGAGAGUGGAACUCCAUGUGUAGCGGUGAAAUGCGUAGAGAUAUGGAAGAAUACCAGUGGCGAAGGCGGCCCCCUGGACAGUGACUGACGCUGAGGUGGGAAAGCGUGGGUAGCAAACAGGAUUAGAUACCCCUGUAGUC